rnacentral:misc_RNA from 1 species
UUAUUACCUGGUCCUUCCGUCCAGCAACUAAAUCUACAGGGAUAUCUAUAAGACUGAAGUAUUCACCCAAGUCCAAUGGCUCUGGUGAUCCAUAGGCUUCCAUGUUCAGGGAUGCAUUUCCAUAAUCAAACAUUCUAAAUUUCUUGGCAUGCUUCAUCUGAGCAAGAUGAAGACCUACUCGAAAUGAGACUCCGGGCAUAUCAUUCAUGUUAUAGUGCGGAGUUCCCAGUACUCCAACCCAGUUUGAACUGUCCCCACCUAAAAAGUAACUCACCACGGUUUGAACCAAACCUCCAACAGCAGGAUAGUGAUGAAAGUCGCGAGCCAACUUGUUGAGAAGCAUGCGGAAAAAUCUUG